rnacentral:rRNA from 1 species
UACAGAGGUCUCGAGCGUUAGGCGGAAUCACUGGGCUUAAAGCGUGUGUAGGUGGAAGCGUAAGUACCUUGUGAAAUCCCACGGCUCAACCGUGGAACUGCUUGGUAUACUGCGUUUCUUGAGCCAACUAGGGGCUAUCGGAACAAGUGGUGGAGCGGUGAAAUGCGUAGAUAUCACUUGGAACGCCAAUGGUGAAAACAGAUAGCUGGGGUUGUGCUGACACUGAGACACGAAAGCCAGGGGAGCAAACGGG